UUAGGAUGAUGGAGGAGAGAAUUGCUGUCCAUAUCCCACAAUAAUGUGAGGCAGUAGCAUCAUACCAGACUUUUCAAUCGACUGAACAGGGGAAAGGGGUAAGGUUGAGCUCGUGUCAUGUGCAACUUUGAAUAUUCUAUAGGAAGAGAGAUGGAAAAAUAUCACCAUGGAUAAGAAAAGGAAAAAGGAAAACAAGUCAUUGCUAUAUAAAACAAGGAAGAAAAAAGAAUGGAAGAAGCUGAGAAAAAGAAGGAAAUUUGGCUGGAUAUUUACUGUGUUUCAUUUCUCAGAAGUCAGGGAAGAUCAACUCUGUGAUGUAGGUAGGCUGGAGAGGUGAAUCGGCUACCUACUGUUCUUCAUGGAAGAAGAAGUAUUUAAACCUGGAUAUCCAAGGCUCACAGAAUCAGUGUUGUAAAUGCUAUACUAUCAGGCUUUUUAGUUUUAUUUAGUUUGUCCUCUCACAGUUCCACGUAUCAUGGCUGUUCCAAAUGUACAACCUCUUUUAGGAUCCUCAUACAUAUAUAAAAGAAAAGCAGAGCACUGCAGUUUUCUAUGUCUCGGAAGCCACAGGGAUCAAAUGUAAAAAGGGAUGAAGGCGUUUCAUACAGAUUGUGGAGACUUCAAAAAACUGUUUCUAUUUGUAUAAAUUGUGUCUGAUGAAAAAUUGAA